rnacentral:rRNA from 1 species
UACGAAGGGGACUAGCGUUGUUCGGAAUCACUGGGUUUAAAGGGUGCGUAGGUGGGCAAGUAAGUCAGUGGUGAAAUCUCCGGGCUUAACCCGGAAACUGCCAUUGAUACUAUUUGUCUUGAAUACUGUGGAGGUCAGCGGAAUAUGUCAUGUAGCGGUGAAAUGCUUAGAUAUGACAUAGAACACCAAUUGCGAAGGCAGCUGGCUACACAAAUAUUGACACUGAGGCACGAAAGCGUGGGGAUCAAACAGG